rnacentral:rRNA from 1 species
UUCCAGACUCCUACGGGAGGCAGCAGUGAGGAAUAUUGGUCAAUGGGCUUACGCCUGAACCAGCCAAGUCGCGUGAGGGAAGACUGCCCUAUGGGUUGUAAACCUCUUUUGUCAGGGAGCAACGCCGGCUACGUGUAGCCGGACUGAGAGUACCUGAAGAAAAAGCAUCGGCUAACUCCGUGCCAGCAGCCGCGGUAAUACGUAGGGAGCGAGCGUUGUCCGGAAUUACUGGGUGUAAAGGGAGCGUAGGCGGGGAUGCAAGUUGGGUGUUAAAUCUACCGGCUCAACUGGUAGUCGCACUCAAAACUGCAGCUCUUGAGUGAAGUAGAGGCAGGCGGAAUUCCUAGUGUAGCGGUGAAAUGCGUAGAUAUUAGGAGGAACACCAGUGGCGAAGGCGGCCUGCUGGGCUUUUACUGACACUGAGGCUCGAAAGUGUGGGGAGCAAACGGGAUUAGAUACCCCGGUA